rnacentral:lncRNA from 1 species
GAAGUGGACAUAUGUAUCUAGCUGGCAUAUAGGGGAGUGGUUUAGCACUACCGAUUUUCUGGGGUGUGGUAUAACUGUUCCAUUUUAAGUUAUAACCGCACAACCCAAGGCUACCAUAUAGAAGUAGAUAGAUAGAAGUGGCAGGUAUAUGGGUGUACUUUUUAGCCCUACAGAUGUUCCGAGGAGUGGUAUAACUGUUCUAUUUUAAGCUAUAACAGCACAAGUAAAGGGUACCAUAUAGAAGUGGACAUAUAGAUGUGGCAGGUAUUUGAGUGUGCUCUUUAGCCCUACAGAUGUUUCGGGGUGCGGUAUAACUGUUCCAUUUUAAGCUGUAACCGCACAACCCAAGGCUACCAUAUAGAAGUAGAUAGAUAGAAGUGGCAGGUAUAUGGGUGUACUCUUUAACAGUACAGAUGUUUCGAGGAGUGGUAUAACUGUUCUAUUUUAAGCUAUAACAGCACAAAUAAAGGGUACCAUAUAGAAGUGGACAUAUAAAUGUGGCAGGUAUUUGAGUGUGCUCUUUGGCCCUACAAAUGUUCCAGGGUGUGGUAUAACUGCUCCAUUUUAAGCUAUAACCGCACAACCCAAGGCGACCAGAUAGAAGUAGAUAGAUAGAAGUGACAAGUAUAUGGGUGUACUCUUUAGCCCUACAGAUGUUCCGGGGUGUGGUAUAACUGUUCCAUUUUAAACUAUAACCGCACAACCCAAGGCUACCAUAUAGAAGUAGAUAGAUAAAAGUGGCAGGUAUAUCGGUGUACUCUUUAACACUACAGAUGUUCCGAUGAGUGGUAUAACUGUUCUAUUUUAAGCUAUAACAGCAGAAGUAAAGGGUACCAUAUAGAAGUGGAUAUAUAGAUGUGGCAGGUAUUUGAGUGUGCUCUUUAGCCCUACAGAUGUUUCGGAGUGUGGUAUAACUGUUCCAUUUUAAGCUGUAACAGCACAACCCAAGCCUACCAUAUAGAAGUAGAUAAAUAGAAGUGGCAGGUAUAUGGGUGUACUCUUUAACAGUACAGAUAUUCCGAGGAGUGGUAUAACUGUUCUAUUUUAAGCUAUAAGAGCACAAGUAAAGGGUACCAUAUAGAAGUGGACAUAUAAAUGUGGCAGGUAUUUGAGUGUGCUCUUUAGCCCUACAGAUGUUCCGGGGUGUGGUAUAACUGUUCCAUUUUAAGCUAUAACCGCACAACCCAAGGCGACCAGAUAGAAGUAGAUAGAUAGAAGUGACAGGUAUAUGGGUGUACUCUUUAGCCCUACAGAUGUUCUGAGAGUGGUAUAACUGUUCCAUUUUAAGCUAUAACCGCACAACCCAAGGCUACCAUAUAGAAGUAGAUAGAUAAAAGUAGCAG